CUUGGUUUUGUAACCCACUGUGUAUGAACAGAUAAAAAAACAUGACACGAUCAGAGUGAGAUAAUUGAUAUGACAAUUAUUCGUCCACAACGUUAGACAACUUAAAAUGGAACUAUCAGUAGUGCUAGCAAACAAGAGAAAUCAGUGUGGACCUUCACUGGAAACUGACAAUUAAAAAAUAAUUUAUGCAUGUAAAAUAACAUGAAUUUGACGCAUCCAAACUCUAAUAACCGUUUCUAGAAUGGGAAAAAAUUCUAUUACAAUUCUACUCUACAUGGACUAAAUUCAUUAAAGACUCAUAGACGCACACAGAGUUCAAACAAUAAACAAGAACAAACAUGUCAAAUUUAGAGUCACCACAAAAUGACAAGUAUCUAUAGUAUCAGAAAGGAAAUAGUGGAAAUGUUUAAUUAGACUAAACCACGUCGACAAGUCACACGAGUUUAAAUGCUUUAGAAACUUAUAUUUAGGUAAGCGUUAAACAGGUUUCAGCAACCCCUUCAAUGGUAUCAUCCACGGGGAGAAUGUGUACACGCUUCCCAUACUUGAAAUCAGCACAUUGAUGAACAGAGCAGAAACCACAUCUCGGAGCCAAACCUUAAGGUUGUUUCUGACAACCUUAUUCAUCAAAAUCUUGGUUCAUCACAAGUGUCAUCAGCAAUGGCAACGCAAAAUGUGUCCUUUUUUUACUUUCCCUACACAUAAAAUCAGAAUUAAAUAUUUGAUGUAUUCAUAUGCUUAAUGAUGCUUAUUAAAGGAUUUACAAGUCCUGUUUGAAUUUUUUUAUGAAAUAUAUGCAAGUACUGAUAUCUAUAGUACUCUGAUAUCAAACAAUAGAGAAGUCAAAUUUUUAAACAUGAUGUGAACAGAAUAAAUAGAGCUAGGAUGCUGUGUCUCUAUUGAUAUAAUUAAGUCUAACUUGAUGAAAAUUCGUAUACCAUCUUUCAUCAUCUAAAACUUUAACAAACAACGACCGUUAAAACCCAUGAAUUGAAAAUCCUUUAAUAAAUUAGGGAUUCAAAAACAAAUAAAAUUCAUCUUCUGAACGAUAGGUUAUUUCAAACAUACAGAAAAUUAAAAGCUAUAAUUAUGACAAAUCUAGGGACAAGACUAAUUAUUUCCAAAAAGAAAAAAAAACCCUCAAUUAAAGCGAAUAUGAAAUUGACAUAUCUGAUGUCGUUACUCUUCAAUUUCUGUGUCAAUCUUCUUCUUUUUUCCCCCAAAGUUUCAAAAAACUCUGAAGAAAGACAUAAAGAAAAAAAAAAAAUUAAACACUUAAAAAAAGAGCUGAAGAGGAUAGAACAAAAAAUACAUCGAGUACCAUAUGAAUGAACAGUGAAUGUAUGAAAUAUGGAAAAGGAAGUAAAGGUUAGAGAAUUAAAAAGUCAUUUUCAAGAUUGGGAAUAAAUUUUCUAUGGACUAUAAAGAAUGGGAACUACUUGCACAAAUUUCUCAAAAGAAAAAGGAAAGGAUAGUUCGAGAAUUUUGGGGCCCUUUGAGUUGGAACUGACGUGAGGGCGCCUCGUCUUAGAUCCGGCUCUUGUUAGCAUGUAUGAUUUUGAAAAUUUUCCAAAUAUUGAAGAAAGUAAAUGAAUUAAAUAAAACGUAUCCGACAACAGGUACAUUUAAAGGUUGCAUUUUAUAAUUUACGCAAUUCUCAAAGAAUUAGUCUUGUUUGAACCCCUUUUUUUUUUUUUUUUUUACCAAAGAAUGCACUUUGUCAUAGUGACCUUUUUGGAAAUGUGUGGCUUAAAAAGUACAAAAAGAUUUUGAAUUUAUGUGCAAAUUAUUUUAUUGAGAAAAUGAGUGAUUAAAAAUGAGUUUGGAAAAAAAAUAAUAGUUUUUGAAUAAUAAGGCUCAAAUAAGGGCUUAAAUGAUCACAUAAAAAAGUAAGAGCAUAACUAAGAGAUGAUGAAAAUAAACAUCUCAUGU
rnacentral:lncRNA from 1 species